GAUGAACGCUAGCGGCAGGCUUAACACAUGCAAGUCGAGGGGCAGCACGGACUUCGGUCUGGUGGCGACCGGCAAACGGGUGCGGAACACGUACACAAUCUACCUUUAUCUGGGGUAUAGCCCGAAGAAAUUCGGAUUAAUCCCCCAUAAUAUAUUAGAGUGGCAUCACUUCGAUAUUAAAACUCCGGUGGAUAAAGAUGAGUGUGCGUCCCAUUAGCUAGUUGGUAGGGUAACGGCCUACCAAGGCAACGAUGGGUAGCUGGUGUGAGAGCACAACCAACCACACGUGCACUGAGACACGGGCCCGACUCCUACGGGAGGCAGCAGUGAGGAAUAUUGGUCAAUGGACGAAAGUCUGAACCAGCCAUGCCGCGUGAAGGAUGAAGGCCUUCUGGGUUGUAAACUUCUUUUAUUGGGGAAGAAAAUUACGGUUUCUACUGUAACCGACGGUACCCAAGGAAUAAGCACCGGCUAACUCCGUGCCAGCCGCCGCGGUAA
rnacentral:rRNA from 1 species